AGGCAAUUGGCCUACUCGAGACAUUGAAUAGUGUCAAUUUAUGUCAUGAGCUCCUUUUCAAGCAGCAAGAGGGCUUUCUAACAAAGAGAACGGCGCAUUCGAGAACAUCUGUGCGGGGAUAUCUAAACUAUUGGAUUCACCUCAGAGAAAGCACUUUACUGUUUGACCCGUAUCCGAGGGUCACUUCUCUUAAGACAGGCCUUGGAUCGCGAAGACCCGAACCUUACCUGCUCCUUCUUCCUUGAUAGAAUAGCAAGCAGCGCCGCAAGGAACCCAGAGUCUGUGGGAGGCUUAUUACUUCAACUAGUCCCCACGGAUCUCUUAGUUGUUGAGAAGGUUGCCCAAAAGCGGUAUAUAAGGCGUACCAGUCAAUAAACCAGAUAUAAAGAUGGCUACUUUCGCUUCACUACGUAUCUAAUCUCCUAAGCUUUUGGUGCUGCUAGAAAGCGUUCAACCGGCCAGAUCUACUGAAUCAACAGAAAGAUACGUAGGUUUGAGAAAGGAAGACUCACUAACUGAGAAACUCAUUUCAAGUCAAAUAAGAAUACGUAUCUCAGUUCCCCGAAAAACACGUUGAAACGUUAAUCCAGUAGCACGACGAACAAUUCCAGGAGCAGCAGUCGUUGGCAGGAAAGGGAUGGGCCAAUC
rnacentral:lncRNA from 1 species